rnacentral:rRNA from 1 species
AACGAACGCUGGCGGUAUGCUUAAUACAUGCAAGUCGAACGAGAAAGCCCUUCGGGGUGAGUAGAGUGGCGCACGGGUGAGUAACACGUAGGUAACCUGCCUAUCAAUUGGGGAUAACAGAUGGAAACGUCUGCUAAUACCGAAUACGAUCGCAAGAUGAAAGGUGGCUUCGGCUACCGUUGAUAGAGGGGCCUGCGCAGUAUUAGCUUGUUGGUGGGGUAAUGGCCUACCAAGGCAGUGAUACUUAACGGGUCUGAGAGGAUGAUCCGUCACACUGGAACUGAGACACGGUCCAG